rnacentral:rRNA from 1 species
UACGUAGGAUGCAAGCGUUGUCCGGAUUUACUGGGCGUAAAGCGCGCGCAGGCGGCAGUACAAGUACCCUCUGAAAUCUCCUUGCUCAACGAGGAGGAGUGGAGGUAGACUGUGCAGCUAGAGGAGGGUAGAGGGGGGUAGAAUUGCUGGUGUAGCGGUGAAAUGCGUAGAGAUCAGCAGGAAUACCCGUGGCGAAGGCAGCUCUCUGGGACGGUACUGACGCUGAGACGCGAAAGCGUGGGGAGCGAACAGG